UACAAGUAUUACAAAAAAAAUUUGUUUAACAAAAUCCCUUUCAAGACUUCUGAAGGGGGGUCAAACCUUUAUUUUAAGUGCGAUUUCAACCCUAGUCUCCCGAUAUUUCAUUUCGAAAAGCCAAUUCCGAAACAUAAAUUGUAACACGCAAUUUCCAUAAGAGCAGCGCCCUCACAUCUUCAAUCUCAUUUUUGGUGGUAUUAGAGCAUUUGUUGACAUGGGAAACCAUAUGAAAUAAGUGAAUAACAUUGACUUGACAAUCCUCCGAUUUGACCGGUGGCCAUAUUGAAUGGCUUGAAUCCGAUGGCUCCAGUGCUUUGGCAAUAUGGCAUUCUCUCACACUUUGCAACGUCUUUCGUUUGCGGAAUGUUUCACAUAUUUAAAUCAACAAUUUAUUUAUAAACAAUAACAGUUUUACGAAUUUUUGUGACGUCUAUCACCCUUCGACCCCAUCUUCUUGAAAUUCUUUUCCAGUGGCACUUUCUGAAAAGCCUUUUUCGAUCGAUUUUUGCCAAACGCUCGUUCCGUCUCUCCUCACUUGACAUAAGUCAUCAAUCUUCGUGGUUGUCAUCAAAUUGGCACCUCACAAAAAUGUAAGAUGAGGUUAUGAGAGACUCAUGGGUCAAUCAUAUCAACAACAUGCAGCGUUGUCACCUCUUCAUCGUACCAUAGCCCGGAGAGUCAAGUAAAAACAAUUAAUGAAAAUAUUUUGCAAUAAUUCUUCAGAAUUUUUGCGACAAUGUUUUUUACUCGUUAUAAAAAAAUCAACAAUAAUGAAUAAUGAUGAACACACGGUUUAUUGAAGAUGCCAACCAAAAAAGAUAUUUGAAACUACUGUCCAGAAAUUUCACAUUGAUCCAGAGAAUCGCUUCGGACAAUUUAUUGUAUUUGUAAGGACAUCUCCCAGCGUUUGUCACUAGGUGCAGCGCAGUGUAAAUGGUUCCCAAAACUUUAACCGAGUUCUUCUGCAAAGGGUAUUUUCACCGAUCAUCACCUACUCAUCGAUUAAUAAUCAACCGAACGUUGAUCAAGUGCUCAAGUCGAUGUCCAAUCAACUAACCAUGGAGUUGUCCUCCAGCUUAUCCUGGCGAUCUGCCAGGACCGAAGAUCUGUCAUCUCCUCUUUGCUGGAGAAAGAAGUGAAGACUUCGAUUGACUCAUCUUCACCUCAUAAUAAGUGUUUUUACGAUGAAAAGUCUGCUCAACAUGUUAAAGAAACCCAAGCACUUGAGAAAGCAAACACGGAAAUUAAGGCAUCCGAUGAACCAAAGACUUCCCUUCAACAUCAUCGCAGGAAAAAUGGAAGACUCCGGAGGCCCUGAGGAGGACCUUGAUCACUUGGCUCUGGCUCCGCCCUGUCCCUGAUGGACCGAUUCAGUUUCAUUCAGAUCCCCAUAGAUCGGAAUUGAACUCCACUCGAAUGGUAAUCGAGAUACUGAACUACUGGAUGUUAUAAUCGACGAAUCCAUCAGCGGAAAUAUGAUAAUCGUUGAAUAGAGCUGCUAGCAGCAUUACAAUGCGAAGGUUACCACCCACCGUAUAGCAUCAGCCUAUUUCUUCAGAAUGUGAAUCGUAAAGUUCUCUUAUAUAUAUCGAUUCCUUCCUGAAUUCCUCUGUAUUAAACGUUUAAAUCUUGAAAAUUGAUAAUUAUAUGUAGUGCAUAUGAUAUAAUUUUGUGUAUAGUUUUUUUACCAGAAUAAACCAAAGGGUUUAGAUGCAUUAAAUAGAAAAAUUUUGUUAUUAUUGAAAAGAGCAAAAACAAUACGAUCACAGUACAGACCUAUAUAAGUCUAUAUUAAUACUAUGAGGUAAUUGUUUGCUGGAGAGGUCCUCUGUGUGGUCUUACGAUAAAAACUCCAGUUUAUGUUUAUUCACUAAUAUAAAGAAAUCUUUGUUAAUGCAAAGAAAGAAACCAUGAUGACGAUCCUUUGGUUUUUGAGAUUUCAAGAUCGUUUGUCAGUUCGUCGACUGCUCUCGAAGUGUGACCACAUAAUCAUAAAAUCAAACUGCUCUUACUUAUAUCGUCUAUUGUUCAUUAACCUGGUUUCCAAUUAAAAUCUAAUAGUUAUAUUCCAGAGAAAUCAAUUUUGUUUUAAAAUUAGAGGAACUGAGGAAGCGAGAUACUGUUCGCAAGACCGUUUAUUUUAGACGUGAGACUGAGAAUUUAUAGAGGUGUUCAAAGUUGGAGGGAUUUGGAACUGAGGAUAAGGGAGAGUUCCUCUAAGGAACAUAAGUCUCCAGACAAAUGCCGGAAAUGAGGAAAUUGAAGAGUGGGAGUUUUGAGAGCGUCAAAAUAUCUGUGGUCCAUCUAAGUAUUCGAAACUAAGGAGAAUGCGGACUUAUUUAGUCAGGAUUGGGAAUACGUUUGAGGACUUGAAGGAUUUUUGCAUACGGGGAAUGCAUAAAGACAUCAGGAGGGUAUACAACAAUUAAAAAAAAAAUGGAAACCUCGUCUGUCGAGCUCAGACAAAUGGAGCUACACUAAUUGCGCUGCAUCGCCCUGAAAAAUUAACUGGAAACGCGAAACAUCUAGCUUAACGAAUGGUCGACCGCCUACAGCACCAGCAACACGUCAGGUAUCAACAUCUCGCAAGUGAGACAUUGACAAUGUACAAUUUUUAAAGAUACAGCUAAAAUUAUAAUUUCCGAUGCAAUCAAGACAUCGAAAGGCCCCAGUUGUCAGCCGGAAUAGAUAUUACCAACUCUCGAAUCCAAUUCCAAGCUGUGUCACACCCACCAUUGAAAAAUAAAUACAGAUAACAUCUCCCUUCAGAUGUGUUGAGAAAUAGCUCUUCAUCACCACUGAAAAUGCCCAUAAGUCUGCAACUUCUCAAACUAUGAGUCAUUGGAUCAAAAAUACGUCAGACAGAACUGGUGUUGAUACCAAGGAGUGCAUUUAGCACGCGUCAUGCAGAUGUAUCAAAAGCUUUUUUCCGGGAUGUCGACGUGUCUUUAACCAGAAAAAUUGGGGAUCGAUCCGAAAAAUCGCACGUUUUUGAUAAAUUUUAUAAAAAACUAAUUCAAACCGCAGAAGACAUAUUCGCCCGCAUUACACUUGAAUGAGAUUAUUAAUAUAUUAUCUACUUUGUAUUAAUUACACGAUAAUAUGAUGAUUUCAACUAGAAUUCUUACAAAUAAAAACAUCCACAUGUAAUCAUCGAGAUCGAGAUGCGAAAUAUAAUUAACUGCCAUAAUUAUAUAAACAAAUCGGUCAAUUACUCUAACGCGAUCUAAUUAUCUACGCGCGCGUUUUAUUCGAUUGUUUUAAAAAAUUACAAAAAAUAAUUUUCAUGUAA